AUGGUAAGGGAACAUUUGCAGCUUCAUACUGAUCUUGGCAGUGCUCACAAGAGGAGAGUGCGACCUAAUGCAGCAGACAGCAAGGGAUUCAAGAGCAAAAUCUGGCUAGGCUUUGGCAUCCCACUGGUAAAAAGUAACCUAACUGGGAACAAGCCGCUGAUGUUUAGUACUAACCCUGCAAAGGAUUUGCGAGUGUUGCGGCCAGAACACCACAUCCCUAUUCUAUGCAUGUCUAGUCGUCAGCUCCCAUGUGACAUGAAGUCUGUUAUUCAACAUGUGAAGAUAGUGGAGAUUUCAUUGAAGUUGAUUCAGGUUGGAGUCAUUCCCUUGCUUGGCUGUAACUCUCAUAGUGGCCGUCACGAACAGUUAUGGGAUCCUGGAGGCAACACUUCAUUGGUGUGGCUCUACCAAGGUAUAUUGAUUGGUGGUCGGCAUUCAGUGGAUGCAAUUGAGUUCCCUUCUAGUUGUGAGGCAGCUCCUUUUCAAGGAGAGAGGUGUAUUAUGGUUCCCGCUUUCGUCGCCCACCACUACUACAUCACCGCCAUCCUCGACAAGGUUCAUUUCGUCCACGCAUACUACGAAGUUCCAGUCAGCACCGGCCAUAACAUCCUCAAGGACUACUUUGACUUCGACCAAGUCUAUGUCAACAAGGACUACUACCUCGACACACCAGAGUCUUCAACCUCGUUCACGUCUACCUCGACCACUGCUACUUUUGUGAAGGCUACCACCACCAAUCUAACAGCGCCUUGGGACCCCGACAGAAAUUUUUCGGCGUCGGCUUGGGGUCAAGCCGAGUUUCAAAGAGUGAGGAAUGUCACGAGAACAACUACAAUAUUACAUCGGGCACUUUAG
rnacentral:rRNA from 1 species